AUUUUACUCCCUCCGUUCGGAAUUACUUGUUCGGAAUUACUUGUCGCAGAAAUAGAUGUAUCUAGACGUAUUUUAGUUCUAGAUACAUUCAUUUUCAAGACAAGUAAUUUCGAACGGAGGGAGUACUUA
rfam:Triticum aestivum genome assembly, contig: Triticum_aestivum_CS42_TGACv1_scaffold_528081_6DL